rnacentral:rRNA from 1 species
UACAGAGGGUGCAAGCGUUAAUCGGAAUUACUGGGCGUAAAGCGUGCGUAGACGGUAGCGUAAGUCGGGUGUGAAAGCCCGGGCUCAACCUGGGAAUUGCAUUCGAGACUGCUCUGCUAGGGUGCGGAAGAGGGAAGCGGAAUUUCCGGUGUAGCGGUGAAAUGCGUAGAUAUCGGAAGGAACACCAGUGGCGAAAGCGGCUUCCUGGUCCAGCACCGACGUUCAGGCACGAAAGCGUGGGGAGCAAACAG